ACCCUCCAGACCCCAGAUAUGUCCUCUUCAGUCGACACAGGUGUUGCUUUGUCCUUAGAACUCCUGCUGAGGUCACAGGCACCAAAUGUCAAAUGGUAAAUUCUGCAAGGGGAGGGGGUGAGAUACUAAAUCAACUGCUUACUUAACUGCACUUCUUACAAAUCUCAGACCAGCAAAACACAUCUCUCAUUCUUACCUUUAUGGUCAGAGCUGCUUGAGUCUAAGGGCAUUUUGGUUUGGAGGCUGUGUUUGGAAAACCUUCUGGUACCACUCUAUCUGGGACUAGUCAGGCAGCCUCCCACCCCACCCUCGCCCGGGCAUGCACCGCCAUUUAUCAUGAAAAGAAUGCAGCACCUGCUUCCCCCGCUAAAUUUCCUGCUUUUUGUAAAAGCUUCUAAAAUAGAUUUUGAAUUGUACGGUUUUCAUAAAUGCUGUUUUUGCAAAGUGUUUCUUGAAUAAUUAUUUGUGCUUAGUGUUUGAAAAAUAACUUUGCUCAAAGAGAAGGAAGAUAAUGUGUCUAGUGACUAUAACAUUAAUGGGAGCACCCCUGAGCCAAGUUGAAGGAGAUGGAGAUGAGACACGUGGAUAAUCAACAUUUGAGCUCCUGGAAGGGAGCCAUAAACAAGUGGCAGACUUCCGUGGAGCUUCAUCGAUUCGUGUUCACUGAGCCUCAUUCAUUAGGGCAGUUGGGAAGCAGCAGGUGUACACACGUGUGCACAUGUGUGUAUUCCAAGGGGUGUAAGGACGAGAGAUUGGUCCAAGCAUCCUACCAAUGUGACUUCUGCUUCAUCCCAAGAUGAGUCAGAGGCUUUCAAAGUAUUGAAGAAAAUAGGAAACGCUCCCCUAGUUCAUGACGUAAAGCAGGAAGAAGCUUGAAGUGGGGCAGGCUGGGUUCCGGGUGCUGCACAAAAGCCCCAAAUAAAAACAGAGCCUUUUCAGCCCAGAAAGAAAGCCACCUUGUCCGCUGCCCAGGCUGGAAAAGACACGGUCCAGAACAUUUAUUCUGCCAUGCUUCAGUCUUUCAGGCAGAAAAAGCCCUGGCAGGAGUUGAUUUUGCAAGUUGAACAGAGAAGACUCGUCUUUGGAGUGGAGGGGAUCAAAUGAUACUAGAUGUGAAAGCACUUUGGAAAGUUAAAGGGAUUAUACAAAGGUUUGUGGCAACCCCGUGUCAAGCACGUCUAUCGGCGCCAUUUUUCCAACAGCAUUUGCUCACUUCGUGUCUCUGUGUCACGUUAUGGCACGAUGCUAAUCGCUCCAGGAGAUGAUCUCUUUUCGUCCUCCCAACCGUCUAUGUGGUUGCCCUCUCUGGAGCUCACACUCAGCCUGGCCAAAACUAAGCUCACCAUCACUUCUAUGUUCAUCCCAGACUAACUCCUCAUCCGAUGUGUCUAUUUCUGGGCAGUGACACCAUCUCCUAAAGACAAAGCCAAAAGCAGGCUCAAGGAGCCAUGCCCUGAUGAGACUUUGUCGAUCUACUUCUUGGCUCUGUUUCAGGCCUACAUCAGUCAAAGUCAAAUUGUUGCUGCCUUUAGCAACAAUUGGUCACAUCUGGUCCUCGGUCCUGAACUAGCCUCACUAUGUGGAAUCCUUCCAGAUCGAGAAGAGCCACAUGAAAUAAAUAAUAUUUUUGACAUAUUUAUUGCACUUUGCAUUUUAUAGAGGUUUCAGUAUUUCCUUCUACAUGCUUCAGCAUCUAGUAUGUGCCAAGCCUGGCACAAGCAGCGUGAUACAGCUGUGAAGGCAACAGACAAGAUCUGCGUCCUCAUGAAGCCUACAAGGAAACAAGUACAAUAAUUUCAGAUUGUGGUGAGUGACGUGCAGGAAAUAGAUAAGGCAAUGAAACAGAGAGUAACCAGCCAACUGCAGUAGGAAGACUUCUUAAGACCUGAUGGUCAGGGAAGGCCUCUUUGAAGAGGUGACCUUUUCUCAGUUGUAACUUGCAUCUAUUUUUUCUAUUAUUGAAAAAUGUACAUAACAUAAAAUUUACCAUUUUAACCAUUUUUAGUGUAUAGUUCAGUAGCAUUAAGUACAUUCACAUUGCUAUUCAACUAUCAUUACCUUCCAUCUCCAGAAUUUUUCAUCAUCCCAAACCUAAAUUCCAUAUCCAUUGAACACUAACUCCCCACUCCUCUCUCCCCCCAGCCCCAAUGACCACCAUUAUGCUUUCUGCCUAUGAAUUUGACUACUCUUGGUACCUCACAGAAUUAAAAUCAUACAAUAUUUGU